GAUGUGGAGUGUUAUAUCAAACAUGAGUAGAAUCUAAUAUUGAUUCAAAAGUGGACACGAAAAAAAAAGAA
rnacentral:sRNA from 12 species